GCACUAUAUAAAAUUCAGUCACCAGUAGAAUAUCACCCAUCUUAUAUCUAUGUAGGCUUAGCCAAAACAAAAACAAUAUUAUUCGAUUCGUGCACCUCAAUAUUAGUCGUAGUAUGUAUAUAAAUAAUUUUUUCUCAACUGAGGGUUAACUCACCGAAAUGAUUUGUGACCAAGGGUUCGUAAUAACACCCUAACUUGACAUCCACGAGAUCAACAAUUUCGAUUUUGUUACCCGCAUCAACAAGUAGGAACUCCGAAAUAUGACAAGUUGGGCAUAAAUGUGUAUGACACAUCUUCUGCUUUGCAAAGAGGAUUCAUAUUAAUCCCAAACAUAGAUUCUGAAGAUACGUAACUCGAGGAAAUUCAUGGCAACUUGUUAGAGUAAAACUACAAUGUUGGGAUGUGUUGAGCCAUUCGACCGGUUGCAAUGCUUUCAAUGAAUUUGGCUUUAGGCUAAAUACUCAAGAUUCAUAUAUAAUAGACGCUAAGCGUAAUAAAUGUCACUCAAUCUAACAAACUCAUAGACCUGAAUGAAAAAAAAUGGAUUGUUUUACAUUUGACCACACAAGAAAACGUUCUAGUCUUCUAGAUGAAGAAAAUAAUUAGUAAAAACAUAUUACCUUAUCUCUGGUUCUUCCACUAAUGAUAGCGGUUGGGAAGUAGUCAAAUACGUUGUUCUCCAAAAGAAUUUAAAAUAACUUAAAUUAUGUUGGACUAAUCUAAGAGAAGACUUAAUACAUUUCAAGAGUCAAAUACGCAUUUUCCACAAAGAAUUUUUUUUAAAAACAAGAGGUCCAUCUUACUUAUCCGCGUAACCUUAUAUUUAUUUCUAAAUAAAAAGGCAUUGAAAUUAACAUCGCAACGGUGAGUUCAUUUCUCUCCAUAUAUUCAUGAAUUCACCUUCAAAAACUCAUCCUUUUAAAAUUACCCAAAAAAAAAUAAAAAUUUCAAACUUCAAAAUAAUGUAUAACGUCGUGGUUUGCUUACUAACUUUGAGUUUUCUGUUGUUCUCUGGAUUAUCAAACACAGUAGUGGCUCGAGUACAAUAUGAAUCUCCAAUUCCCCAAAUAGGAGAAGGGGUUUGGGAUCAAAAGGUGAUCGUCAAAGAGAUCAAGGCUGUGGUAGAUGGAAGUUGUUCACCGCAUGCACAUGGAAGA